UUUGCCUUACAAAAUCAAACUAGUACAUCAGCUAAAUGAAGUUGUUUUUGGUUGAUUUUGGUCUCCUGUUAUACACAUGGUGAAGUCAAAAAAUAUAAUUAUCGAUACAAACUAAUCCUUAUUUAUUUUGAGAAACACAUAUGCAGCGACCUCAAAAACUUAACGCAUGGGCUGGUAUCCUGGGAGAUCACAUCGUUGGAUCUUUUUUUAUUAAUACAAAUCCAAAUGCUGAAAAAUAUAUGGAACUUUUACAGGACGCCAUCCAUCUCAGAAUAACUAGCUACUUAAAAAAAUGAUAUCCUUUUAGAAAAUGAACUGAUCCUUCAACAAGAUAAGGCACCACCACAUGAUGUUUCUGUUGUUGAUCAUCUUUUGAAUCACGUAUUUCCUGGACAAUGGAUUGGCCGGAGAGGGCUUUGGAAUUUGUGGCGUCAUAUGAAUGAGAUACAAGGUACUACGUUAUGUGUAAUCAUCUCGAACGAGGCUUUCAUAUAAUUACGAUCAAACUUCACUUACAGGAUACUGAAAUACAUGGGUCAAUAGAAAGUGAAGAAAUUACUACCCUACACUCUCCAGAAAGUGAUAAAUUACUUGUCCCACAAAUAAAGCCAUGUUCUGCUAGAGCUAGAACAGUUAAAAAAAAUCUAAUGCAAUAGCAGAAGAAGAAUACAUAAGCAUAAAAAAGAACGUGAUGAAUUCGAUGCCUAUGAUGACACUGGUAACAGUGUAAUAUGAUCAUUGUACAAUGAUCCUUAGAAAACUGAGCACAAUUUCUGCAACUUAUGCGAAGUUAGAAAUUAACAAAAUUUUAUUCAGAGCCGAGAUGGAAUAUUUUGAGCCACCUGCUCCUCCUGCUAGACUCGUCAGUAAAUAUCCUACUCUUCACAUAACUCCAACACUUUCUGCAUUGGCUUCUACCCCGAUACAGUCCCACUUGGAUAACCCAUCAACACAACCGGUAAUAGAU